ACACACACACACACACAGGUCUGAUCAGAGACUUCUCCUCUCUGCAGCAGCUUCACUCAGGAACACUCGGGUGCUUUCACAUCAGAACUAAAACCAGGCUGUAAAAAAACACUCUGUGGAAAGUUAAAGAUCCAGGUCACAAAAUACUGACCCCUUUAAAGGUACUCUGAUCUUCUUACUCUGUGAUACUCAUCAAGUUUUAAUUAACCCUAAUCCUACAAAAUCAAACACCCAGACGGACAGGCUUUCCACUUUUUAAAGCUCCUGUCAGGAACUUUUACUUCCUGUGGAUUUUGGCGCCCCCUGUGGACAGAGUGAUAUCUCUCCUUCAUUGCUGGUCUUGUUCUCUACAUGUGUAAGCUUGUAUCUUAUGACUCACUGUGAAUCUGUGCGGUGGAGAAUGUAAAGAAGAAGAAGAAGAGAUCCUGUCAUCGAGAUCAAACGCUGACAUCUGGUGUGAGUCAGCAGAGAAGUAAACGAUGCGAUGCUGGCGCCCUCCUCAGGACAGAAAAACAACAUCGUCUGGCUCUCUGAAACCUGCGGGACACGUUACGUCCUCUCUUCAAGCAGCAUGUGAGCGAGGUGAACCUCCAUCAGCAGCAGAGCUUCAUUAAAGGACGGCCGUGUUUCCUCCCUGAACCGCCCACCUGGCCCCGGCCUGCAGGAGUCCUGGAUUUACCAACCAUUAAGCUAUCAGGAGCUUUUGUUUGAGAAAUAUUUCUGCUGGUCUUGUUCCUAAUUGCCUGUCAAAAUCGACUCCGCCAUCGUCCGUGUGCAGACAGCAGAGCCGCGUACGCCGUCCAUUAAUUCACACAAGCUCUAUUCAGGCUGGAUCUGGGUUUCAAAACCUGCGGAUAAAACACGCCAACAUAUUCACAUGAGCGCUGAACGAUUCAAAGGGAAAAAACUCAGCUGUUUUUCAAAUCAGCCUCGACAUGACAGGUGAUUUAUUUCAUUAUUUUUACUCUGCAGUCAGUCAGUCAGUCAGCUGUAACACUCUGCUGGUUAUGAAAACAGCUGAUCAGAGCAGCAACAAGAAAGUUAAAGACACGCACAAAUAAACACAAAGAGUGUGUGUGACUGGGAAACACAAACAUUGUAGUGUUCUGGGUCAUUUGUUUUUCUCUCUGCAGACUCAGCCACAGUGUCAUAAUAAUGAUGCUAACAGGCUAAUUUAUAACAGCAUUCAAAAAAGGCUUUUUCCUUUUUAACACGUGGACAAGAAUGUGGUCGCCCGAGCACAUCCACCUCUCUCUCUCUCUCUCUCUCUCUCUCUCUCUCUCUCUCUCUCUCUCUGUAAGAUGAUCAGCUGGUGAUGAACCUCGCUCGACCUGCACUUAACACAGAAGAUGGGACCACAGGAUAGCUCUUUCUCCCUUUGUCCAUUAAAUAAAACCAUUAGAAGAAACAGAUCUUAUCCAGAACACCACAGCGCUGAAGGGUCAAUGCAUCUGCAUGUUAAAUACCUGUAAAUACAGCAGCUUUGUUUGAAAUA